CAGAUUGCUUCCACGGUGGAAAAGCUCUCUAGAAACUCUACAAUGCUGUACAAAUACAAACUUUUCAACUUGCUUUGGGAUUAUAGAUUACAAAAUCCAGCUCUGAGGCACUACCACUGGCUGAACUCAACUGGAAACCAGAAUGUCCUCCAGCCUGUUGAUGCGCUCCAUACGGAUUAUGUUCACGGGGCACACAGCGUGAAGGAGGGUGAAUGGUGGGUUUAGAGAGUCAACCAGGAAAAGACCUCAGUGUAGAAUUUAUAAAAAAAAUUUACUGUGGAUGAAGGGGGAAAGAAUUACAUCCUAAGGCAAAAAUGAAGUGCAGACAUCCGAAAAGUAUUUACUACAUGAGCUAGCAGAGCAUUUUCAAACAGGUUUGGUAUUCUCAGUAGAAGAUGAGAAGAAACAAUCCCCAUGAAACAGAAGCAGAAAGCUGAGGAGGAGAGGACAGAUUAAGAUCUAAAUAGAGCUGCAUAAAGUAAUGAUUUUUUAAAAAAUUAAAGAUAUAGAAGCAAAAGCAGUAACAAGAAAAAUUGAUGUUAGAAAAUCAAAUGAGUUCUAGUCAAUACAGAAAGCUCAGCUGAAGUGGAAAAUUUCAAACAUAGAAAUUAUAUGUUAACAUUAUAUUGAUGAAAUAUAACCAAGAAAACUUAAAGUCAAGACCUAGCUUAAAAGUAAAAAUGAGAAAACCCUGAAGCCAGAAAAUGAGAAAACUUAAACAAACAGUGAGUGAGAGCUAAACAAAUAUCCCACAGAGAUCUGGGUUUAAUGCACGGCCCCAUGGAUGGAUUCUUAACAUCUUCACCAAGAUGCUGUGGUGGCCACGGGCCUGGGUCUGGGAGAUGGUGCUGAGCUUCCUAAAUAAAGAGACGAAUCUGCACAAGUCGUCAUGUCCAUUCCAAAGGACCAGAGAGACUGCCCACUGGCCUUGGGAUAUGGGAGAGUGCAACUAAUCCCCACAGGCCACUGGAAGAACAUUUAUAACCUGAAGGAAAUAGGAAACACAAGCGUGUGGAUGUGAUGCCUGAAUCUGCACAUUCACCCAGUACCGAGGGAGGCACAGAGCCAAGACAUUUGCCUGAGAACUGGAAGGACACCCCACAGCUUGGGCCACUCAGUCCUCCACUAGGAAAACAACCCCCGCUGACAAUGAGCUCAUUUGGACAAAUUUCAGCAGACACAAAGGAAAUAAAUUGCCAACAUCAGAAUUGGCAGCUACGAAAAUUCACAUCCCGUCAAUCCUUUUUCACAAAUCUAAAAGAGAUAUUAUAAAACAGGUUUAAAAUAUUCAGAGAUGAAAGGAAUACAACCAAAAUUCACAAACAAACAUAAUGCAAAAAAAGGGGAGUCAGAUUUGAAGAAGGAAAUGUAAAUUGUAGAUUAAAUAAUGUAGUUCACUAACAUUAAAAACCCAAGUGUUUAAGCAGUUAUGUCAGACAGUGCUAAAGAGAAAAGUGAUAAAAUAAUAGACAAAUAUAAAGAAAUCCGUGAGACUGAAGCAUGGCCACAUAGAGGAUGGAGAUGUGAAAGCUGAGAUACAAAGAAAGAAGGAGAUAUUCCAACUUGUUUGGAAUAACUACCGUUCUAGGAGAGAUUCCAGAAAAUAAGGGAAAAGCAAUGUUUGAAAAGAUGAUGUUGGAGGAUUUUCCAGAGUUGAAGAAAACAUGCAUACUCAGAUUAAAAACACUUGUCAAAUCUUGAGUAGAAUAAUUUAAAAACAAAUCCACAUAUAGGAUAAAUAUCGUAAGGAAGCUCAGAACAUCAAAGAUGAUGAUGAGAAAAUAAUUAAAACUUAGAGAAUGCAGAUCACUUCCCAGGGAUGAUCACCAGCCUGUCAGCAGACUUCUCAUGAGCAAUGACACAUCCCAAACCCAAAUGGAGCAAUAUCUCCCAAUUGCUAAGGAAGACUGAUAUCAUCUUUCUAAUCCGACCUCAAUUAUCAUUUAAGAGUCAGGGUAGAGUAAACAUAUUUUCAGAUACACUCACCCAGUAAGAGACCUUAUUCUUAUAGAAAACACCUUUUCAGAAGGAAGUACUUUACUAGAAAAGAAAUUGAAUCCACA
ensembl:lncRNA